CGUGUUAAAAGUAGCUGCUGAAAAUUAAUUUUGUCCUCAGUUCAUCUUUUUCUCUCUGGGUACGAUGAAAUGCUGGCCGACGGAUGCCUCUUUAUGCUGAUAAACUCUUGUGUUUAGGGCUGUUUAUGUGGUCUGGAUAUCAUUCUUUAUCCAAACAAGCUGUGCCACGGUUCCCUUGAAAGGGAAACUGUGACCUGCAUUUUCCAGGGCAAUUAUUUCAUGCCAUCCGGGCUUUCACGACAUUGUCCUCACCUGCUCGAGUGAACCGAGCGAGAAUGCACCUUAAAAAAAAAGCGCCUGCCGACUAGUCAGACCUGGCGGUGACACUGUCGGGCAGGGAAGCGGACCUGAAGCUCAAGUCGUGCCUGGAGGUCACACAGGAAUCAAAGAGCAGCUAUUCCAAACAGGUUUCCAGCGGAGAGGAGGGGGAGCCGAGCUGUGGCACGCCGGCCUGCUGCUUUUGUCAGUCAGGCAACGAACGGUGUCUACAGUGGAGUGGAAACUGUUCUGGACGAUGCCACUGGAACUCCUGAUUCUGCAUCGGGGAUGUUGAACGGCGCACUCGGGUGUGUUUCUGAGACCCCGUUCUCACCUCUGGACCACAUCUGGCACCUCCAGCCAGAGCUCCAGAGGUGUCUGUACUUGCUCAGUGGUAAUUGCUAAUGUCUACAGUGGAGUAGAAGCUGUUCUGGACGAUGCCACUGGAACUCCUGAUUCUGCAUCGGGGAUGUUGAACGGCGCACUCGGGCGUGUUUCUGAGACCCCGUUCUCACCUCUGGACCACAUCUGGCACCUCCAGCCAGAGCUCCAGAGGUGUCUGUACUUGCUCAGUGGUAAUUGCUAAUGGUAAUUACCAACCUUCUCCCUGAACCAGGAGCCUCAUAUAAAUAAAUGACCGGCGUGGCGGGCAUGGCAGUUUCCCAGCAGCGCCCUGUAUCUCUAACGCUGUCCUUCACCCUAAUUCCACCGCCGGGACCUCGACUGGAUCUCAGGUUCUCCGGCUCGCAGACCGCACCUAUUAUCUUCAACUGCUGAGGCUAUUAACCAAUGCACUCGUGUGCUGUAUGGCGGCUCUCUUAUUAGUCUGGCCUGGUGAAGCCGAGCCUCUCAAGUCGGUUCUUUGAGCCUCGACGCCACACUCCCACCACCGAUGGUCCAUCUGCUGAGAUUGAGGACUCCUCUCUGCAUGACUAGCUUCCCCUCCGGGCGCUCUCUCACCGAGGCCACCUGCACGGUUCACACAGAAAAUGGCUGAAAUGGCUGGAGCGAGAUUUUGCCUCCAGUGCAAAUCCUCCCCUCCCUUCCCCACCCGCCGCCUCAACAUCUAAGUUGGAGGCGAGUUGACUUCUUGAGACCGCAGGGAUUCGCCGCUGCCUCCUACUGAGUCGAUGCGAGUGGCAGUGCAGGGGAAAGGAAGGUGGAGGGAAACAGUAUGUGAUAGUAAGUGAACUCGAGUCUUCCCUAAUUAGGCGCCAGGCCUUCAUUCAGCACAUUUAUGGUCUAAUAAAGCAUGGAGGGUGUGCGGUGCGCUGUGAUUAAACAGACGUUUGCUUUAAUACGCGGCGGCUGGAGCAGUACGUAGGGGCUGGUUCUGGAUGCGUGCCACAGACGUGAGCGGCCCUCUGCUCGUCUUCUGGACUAAUUAUCCCGAUGUUCUCCUGAUUUUUUUUAAGCCCUCGACAGACAGGCGAACGGCAGGACGAGGGAGGCCCAAGCGAAGCCGAGGCAGCCGCUGAAAUUGUCAAAAUCACUUAAUCCAUCUCCCGAGCAUGCUAAUGUAAUUGCUUUUUGAUUAAUUGCACCGGUGGAAAAAAUAAAAAAUAAUAAAAAAAAUAUUGGAGCUGGCUUGUUGUUGUUGUUGUCAGAUUACAGCUUCCUCAGAGUGAUUGGUUGUAAACAUAUCCCUUCAUUCUACAUUUUUAAUGAGACAGCCCGCUUGAAAUCUUCGUGAAAUGUCACUUUCAAUAAUUACGUUCUGGAGUUCAUCCGAAUGUUGGCACGAGGAGUUUGACCCCCUUCGUCGGAAAUACUCCAAAAUUCUGUCGCUGGAACUUCACAGCAAACUUCAAGUUAAAGUCAGAAGCGGUAAUUACACGGAAAAGAGAUGAGUCGUGUCGGUGAGACGCCACUGAAAGCAGCACGGCCUUUUCACAGAAGAUGUUCUGACACAUCACAGCAGGAAAUAUGCAAGUAUACGGCAAGAAAUACGCUUAAUGACGGCUGAUUGAGCUGUUCUGAAGCAUUUUAUUAG